AUUGAACGCUGGCGGCAGGCCUAACACAUGCAAGUCGAACGAGUGGCGGACGGGUGAGUAAUGUCUGGGAAACUGCCUGAUGGAGGGGGAUAACUACUGGAAACGGUAGCUAAUACCGCAUACCAUCGGAUGUGCCCAGAUGGGAUUAGCUUGUAGGUGGGGUAACGGCUCACCAAGGCGACGAUCCCUAGCUGGUCUGAGAGGAUGACCAGGCACACUGGAACUGAGACACGGUCCAGACUCCUACGGGAGGCAGCAGUGGGGAAUAUUGCACAAUGGGAGCAAGCCGGAUGCAGCCAUGCCGCGUGUAUGAAGAAGGCCUUCGGGUUGAAAAGUACUUUCAGCGGGGAGGCGUUACCCGCAGAAGAAGCACCGGCUAACUCCGUGCCAGCAGCCGCGGUAAUAC
rnacentral:rRNA from 1 species